AAGAAAGCUCUAAAUGGAUUGGAUCCCAUGGUGAGAACAGGUUCUGAUGCAUCUGAUAAAAGCGAAAAGAAGGAUCCUAAUAAUAAUCUGGAGAGUUUAUUUGUGUUGGGGAGUGUCUUUGUCGAGUUUGGCAGAAUGGAAGCCUCGUGUAUGGCUGCACAUUCUUUACAUGGUAGGAUUUAUGAUGGACAAGAGAUUAGCAUCGAGUACAU
rnacentral:misc_RNA from 1 species